rnacentral:sRNA from 1 species
GCCGGGUGUGGUGGUGCACAUCUGUAAUUCCAGCUACUGAGGAGGCUGAGGCAGGAGAAUCGCUUGAACCCAGGAGGUUGCAGUGAUUGCACUCCAGCCUGGGUGACAGAGUGAGACUCUGUCUCAA